rnacentral:tRNA from 1 species
AGUUAAUUAGCUUAAUGAAAAGCCUAUGUUUUGAAAACAUAACACAGAAGUUUAAUUCUUCUAUUAACUU